rnacentral:snoRNA from 1 species
ACUUCCCUCAAGGUGUUGCAGGUGUGGCUGCUGUGUCACAUGUACAGCAGUAGGUGGCAGAGAGGAGAGAGUUUGUGUCUACACUCAGUGUUCUGACCUAUGAACAUCUAAAUGAUUAGUAGCCUAACAAU